rnacentral:tRNA from 1 species
GGGGUUGUGGCUCAGUGGUAGAGCACUUGCCUAGCACAUGCAAGGCUCUGGGUUCUAUCCUCAGCACCA